AUUGAACGCUGGCGGCAGGCUUAACACAUGCAAGUCGAACGGUAACAUAAAGAAGCUUGCUUCUUUGAUGACGAGUGGCGGACGGGUGAGUAAUGCUUGGGAAUCUAGCUUAUGGAGGGGGAUAACUACGGGAAACUGUAGCUAAUACCGCGUAGAAUCGAGAGAUGAAAGUGUGGGACCUUCGGGCCACAUGCCAUAGGAUGAGCCCAAGUGGGAUUAGGUAGUUGGUGAGGUAAAGGCUCACCAAGCCGACGAUCUCUAGCUGGUCUGAGAGGAUGACCAGCCACACUGGGACUGAGACACGGCCCAGACUCCUACGGGAGGCAGCAGUGGGGAAUAUUGCGCAAUGGGGGCAACCCUGACGCAGCCAUGCCGCGUGAAUGAAGAAGGCCUUCGGGUUGUAAAGUUCUUUCGGUAGCGAGGAAGGCAUUUAGUUUAAUAGACUAGGUGAUUGACGUUAACUACAGAAGAAGCACCGGCUAACUCCGUGCCAGCAGCCGCGGUAAUACGGAGGGUGCGAGCGUUAAUCGGAAUAACUGGGCGUAAAGGGCACGCAGGCGGUGACUUAAGUGAGGUGUGAAAGCCCCGGGCUUAACCUGGGAAUUGCAUUUCAUACUGGGUCGCUAGAGUACUUUAGGGAGGGGUAGAAUUCCACGUGUAGCGGUGAAAUGCGUAGAGAUGUGGAGGAAUACCGGAGGCGAAGGCAGCCCCUUGGGAAUGUACUGACGCUCAUGUGCGAAAGCGUGGGGAGCAAACAGG
rnacentral:rRNA from 1 species